AACGAACGCUGGCGGCAGGCCUAACACAUGCAAGUCGAACGAAGUCUUCGGACUUAGUGGCGCACGGGUGAGUAACACGUGGGAAUAUACCUUACGCUGGGGGAUAACAUCGGGAAACUGAUGCUAAUACCGCAUACGCCCUUCGGGGGAAAGAUUUAUCGGCGAAAGAUUAGCCCGCGUCCGAUUAGCUAGUUGGUGAGGUAAUGGCUCACCAAGGCUCCGAUCGGUAGCUGGUCUGAGAGGAUGACCAGCCACACUGGGACUGAGGCACGGCCCAGACUCCUACGGGAGGCAGCAGUGGGGAAUAUUGGACAAUGGGCGCAAGCCUGAUCCAGCCAUGCCGCGUGAGUGAUGAAGGCCUUAGGGUUGUAAAGCUCUUUCACCCACGACGAUGAUGACGGUAGUGGGAGAAGAAGCCCCGGCUAACUUCGUG
rnacentral:rRNA from 1 species